GAUGAACGCUGGCGGCGUGCCUAAUACAUGCAAGUCGAGCGAACGGACGAGAAGCUUGCUUCUCUGAUGUUAGCGGCGGACGGGUGAGUAACACGUGGAUAACCUACCUAUAAGACUGGGAUAACUUCGGGAAACCGGAGCUAAUCCCGGAUAAUAUUUUGAACCGCAUGGUUCAAAAGUGAAAGACGGUCUUGCUGUCACUUAUAGAUGGAUCCGCGCUGCAUUAGCUAGUUGGUAAGGUAACGGCUUACCAAGGCAACGCUGCAUAGCCGACCUGAGAGGGUGAUCGGCCACACUGGAACUGAGACACGGUCCAGACUCCUACGGGAGGCAGCAGUAGGGAAUCGUCCGCAAUGGGCGAAAGCCUGACGGAGCAACGCCGCGUGAGUGAUGAAGGUCUUCGGAUCGUAAAACUCUGUUAUUAGGGAAGAACAUAUGUGUAAGUAGCUGUGCACAUCUUGACGGUACCUAAUCAGAAAGCCACGGCUAACUACGUG
rnacentral:rRNA from 1 species